AAGCACUGCCUUUGAACCUGAUAUGCCUUGUUUGUAGCUUCACGAGCCAAGCGACAGUGCUAGAGCAUAAGGACUUGUUAUAACUGGAGCUCUUCAGCUCUCAACUGAACUGCUCUUUUAAAAACAAGGUACAUUU